GGGGCUGAUUCUGGAUUCGACGGGAUUUGCGAAACCCAAGGUGCAUGCCGAGGGGCGGUUGGCCUCGUAAAAAGCCGCAAAAAAUAGUCGCAAACGACGAAAACUACGCUUUAGCAGCUUAAUAACCUGCUUAGAGCCUCUCUCCCUAGCCUCCGCUCUUAGGACGGGGAUCAAGAGAGGUCAAACCCAAAAGAGAUCGCGUGGAAGCCCUGCCUGGGGUUGAAGCGUUAAAACUUAAUCAGGCUAGUUUGUUAGUGGCGUGUCCGUCCGCAGCUGGCAAGCGAAUGUAAAGACUGACUAAGCAUGUAGUACCGAGGAUGUAGGAAUUUCGGACGCGGGUUCAACUCCCGCCAGCUCCACCA
rnacentral:tmRNA from 1 species